UACGGAGGGAGCUAGCGUUGUUCGGAAUUACUGGGCGUAAAGCGCGCGUAGGCGGCUUUGUAAGUUAGAGGUGAAAGCCCGGGGCUCAACUCCGGAACUGCCUUUAAGACUGCAUCGCUUGAAUCCGGGAGAGGUGAGUGGAAUUCCGAGUGUAGAGGUGAAAUUCGUAGAUAUUCGGAAGAACACCAGUGGCGAAGGCGGCUCACUGGACCGGUAUUGACGCUGAGGUGCGAAAGCGUGGGGAGCGAACAGG
rnacentral:rRNA from 1 species